UCGAGCGGCGGACGGGUGAGUAAUGCUUAGGAAUCUACCGAGUAGUUGGGGAUAGCCAUUGGAAACGAUGAUUAAUACCGCAUAUAUCCUACGGGGGAAAGCAGGGGACCUUCGGGCCUUGCGCUAUUCGAUGAGCCUGAGUGAGAUUAGCUAGUUGGUGGGGUAAAGGCCUACCAAGGCGACGAUCUCUAGCUGGUCUGAGAGGAUGAUCAGCCACACUGGGACUGAGACACGGCCCAGACUCCUACGGGAGGCAGCAGUGGGGAAUAUUGCACAAUGGACGAAAGUCUGAUGCAGCCAUGCCGCGUGUGUGAAGAAGGCCUUCGGGUUGUAAAGCACUUUCAGCGAGGAGGAAAGGUCAGUAAGUAAUAUUUGCUGGCUGUGACGUUACUCGCAGAAGAAGCACCGGCUAAUUUAGUGCCAGCAGCCGCGGUAAUACUAAAGGUGCAAGCGUUAAUCGGAAUUACUGGGCGUAAAGCGCGCGUAGGUGGUUUGUUAAGUUGGAUGUGAAAGCCCAGGGCUCAACCUUGGAACUGCAUUCAAAACUGACUCACUAGAGUACGAGAGAGGUUAGUGGAAUUUCCUGUGUAGCGGUGAAUGCGUAGAGAUGGGAAGGAACACCAGUGGC
rnacentral:rRNA from 1 species